GACGAACGCUGGCGGCGUGCUUAACACAUGCAAGUUGAACGGGCAGGUAUGGAAGCUUGCUGAAGUAUCUGUUAGUAGCGGACGGGUGAGUAAUGCAUGAGAAGCUGCCAUUGGGAGGGGGACAACAGUUGGAAACGGCUGCUAAUACCCCAUAUGCCGGAAGGUGAAACGGAGUAAUCUGCCCGAUGAGGUGCUCAUGUCCUAUCAGCUAGUUGGUGAGGUAACGGCUCACCAAGGCGACGACGGGUAGCCGGCCUGAGAGGGUGACCGGCCACACUGGAACUGAGAUACGGUCCAGACUCCUACGGGAGGCAGCAGUGGGGAAUAGUCUACAAUGGUCGAAAGACUGAUAGUGCGACGCCGCGUGAACGAAGAAGCCCUUCGGGUGUAAAGUUCUUUUAUAUGUGAGCAGUGACACCCAUAUUAAUAGUAUGGGUGUAGAGAUAUUAGCAUAUGAAUAAGCAACGGCUAACUCCGUGCC
rnacentral:rRNA from 1 species